CUACGGGUCGCUGCAGUGGGGAAUAUUGCACAAUGGGCGAAAGCCUGAUGCAGCAACGCCGCGUGAGGGACGACGGCCUUCGGGUUGUAAACCUCUUUUAGCAGGGAAGAAGCGAAAGUGACGGUACCUGCAGAAAAAGCACCGGCUAACUACGUGCCAGCAGCCGCGGUAAUACGUAGGGUGCAAGCGUUGUCCGGAAUUAUUGGGCGUAAAGAGCUCGUAGGCGGUUUGUCGCGUCUGCUGUGAAAAUCCGAGGCUCAACCUCGGACCUGCAGUGGGUACGGGCAAACUAGAGUGCGGUAGGGGAGAUUGGAAUUCCUGGUGUAGCGGUGGAAUGCGCAGAUAUCAGGAGGAACACCAAUGGCGAAGGCAGAUCUCUGGGCCGUAACUGACGCUGAGGAGCGAAAGCGUGGGGAGCGAACGGGAUUAGAUACCCCAGUAGUC
rnacentral:rRNA from 1 species